GAUGAACGCUGGCGGCGUGCUUAACACAUGCAAGUCGAACGAUGAAGCCCAGCUUGCUGGGUGGAUUAGUGGCGAACGGGUGAGUAACACGUGAGUAACCUGCCCUUAACUCUGGGAUAAGCCUGGGAAACUGGGUCUAAUACCGGAUAGGAGCGUCCACCGCAUGGUGGGUGUUGGAAAGAUUUAUCGGUUUUGGAUGGACUCGCGGCCUAUCAGCUUGUUGGUGAGGUAAUGGCUCACCAAGGCGACGACGGGUAGCCGGCCUGAGAGGGUGACCGGCCACACUGGGACUGAGACACGGCCCAGACUCCUACGGGAGGCAGCAGUGGGGAAUAUUGCACAAUGGGCGCAAGCCUGAUGCAGCGACGCCGCGUGAGGGAUGACGGCCUUCGGGUUGUAAACCUCUUUCAGUAGGGAAGAAGCGAAAGUGACGGUACCUGCAGAAGAAGCACCGGCUAACUACGU
rnacentral:rRNA from 2 species